GUACACUCCUACGGGAGGCAGCAGUGGGGAAUUUUGGACAAUGGGGGCAACCCUGAUCCAGCAAUGCCGCGUGAGUGAAGAAGGCCUUCGGGUUGUAAAGCUCUUUUGUCAGGGAAGAAACGGUGGUGGCGAAUAACUACUACUAAUGACGGUACCUGAAGAAUAAGCACCGGCUAACUACGUGCCAGCAGCCGCGGUAAUACGUAGGGUGCAAGCGUUAAUCGGAAUUACUGGGCGUAAAGCGUGCGCAGGCGGUUGUGUAAGUCAGAUGUGAAAUCCCCGGGCUCAACCUGGGAAUUGCAUUUGAGACUGCACGGCUAGAGUGUGUCAGAGGGGGGUAGAAUUCCACGUGUAGCAGUGAAAUGCGUAGAUAUGUGGAGGAAUACCGAUGGCGAAGGCAGCCCCCUGGGAUAACACUGACGCUCAUGCACGAAAGCGUGGGGAGCAAACAGGAUUAGAUACCCGGGUAGUCCC
rnacentral:rRNA from 1 species